GGGGUUGUGGCUCAGUGGUAGAGCACUUGCCUGGCACCUGCAGGGCGCUGGGUUCAAUCCUCAGCACCA
rnacentral:tRNA from 1 species